CAUCUGCAAAUUCCCUUUUGGUACACAAAUUUGUGCAUUCAUGGGUCUCAUGAAUCAGGAUCUGAACAGCGUCGGAGGCCACUCCUCUGCUUACAUCACCUAUAUCCUAUGAAAAUAUCUGGAAACAUAAUGAAUCCUUUCAGCCUCCACCAACAUCUUAUGGGAAUAGAUUCCAGUGGAGGCAAAAUAUCAGCUAGUCCAUCCAUUUCUGCUUCACCAAAAAUCAGAAAUUGCCGAUUGACUCUGUUCUGCAGAAGGUGUUCAACCGGGGGUAUAGAGUUACCAAUGCUGGAGAAAAAUGACUUCAGAUAAAUACACAAGCUAUUCUAUGAUUCUCCUGUCUAGCAGCGGAAAGAAAUUAUCUCAACACAUUUUCAUCACUUUUCUGAAUCCUUUCUGACUAGAAGUAGGAAGAGUUUAUUCUUUGGAAUAUCUGGAGCUUAUCUGUGUCUUAAACAUGCAUUGCAUUAAAUCAAUGCAAUUUUGAGUGACUAUCAUUUGGGUUAA